rnacentral:rRNA from 1 species
CCUACUGGUGGCAGCAGUGGGGAAUAUUGGGCAAUGGGCGCAAGCCUGACCCAGCAACGCCGCGUGAAGGAAGAAGGCUUUCGGGUUGUUAACUCCUUUUGUCAGGGAAGAGUAGAAGACGGUACCUGACGAAUAAGCCACGGCUAACUACGUGCCAGCAGCCGCGGUAAUACGUAGGGGGCAAGCGUUGUCCGGGUUUACUGGGUUUAAAGGGCGUGUAGCCGGGUUGACAAGUCAGAUGUGAAAUCCUGCGGCUUAACCGCAGAACUGCCUUUGAAACUGUUGAUCUUGAGUACUGGAGAGGCAGAUGGAAUGCCUGGUGUAGCGGUGAAAUGCGUAGAUAUUAGGAGGAACACCAGUGGCGAAGGCGGUCUGCUGGACAGCAACUGACGGUGAGGCGCGAAAGCGUGGGGAGCAAACAGGAUUAGAUACCCCAGUAGUC